GACGCUGGCGGCGUGCCUAAUACAUGCAAGUCGAACGAGUUCUCGUUGAUGAUCGGUGCUUGCACCGAGAUUCAACAUGGAACGAGUGGCGGACGGGUGAGUAACACGUGGGUAACCUGCCCUUAAGUGGGGGAUAACAUUUGGAAACAGAUGCUAAUACCGCAUAGAUCCAAGAACCGCAUGGUUCUUGGCUGAAAGAUGGCGUAAGCUAUCGCUUUUGGAUGGACCCGCGGCGUAUUAGCUAGUUGGUGAGGUAAUGGCUCACCAAGGCGAUGAUACGUAGCCGAACUGAGAGGUUGAUCGGCCACAUUGGGACUGAGACACGGCCCAAACUCCUACGGGAGGCAGCAGUAGGGAAUCUUCCACAAUGGACGCAAGUCUGAUGGAGCAACGCCGCGUGAGUGAAGAAGGCUUUCGGGUCGUAAAACUCUGUUGUUGGAGAAGAAUGGUCGGCAGAGUAACUGUUGUCGGCGUGACGGUAUCCAACCAGAAAGCCACGGCUAACUACGUGCCAGCAGCCGCGGUAAUACGUAGGUGGCAAGCGUUAUCCGGAUUUAUUGGGCGUAAAGCGAGCGCAGGCGGUUUUUUAAGUCUGAUGUGAAAGCCCUCGGCUUAACCGAGGAAGCGCAUCGGAAACUGGGAAACUUGAGUGCAGAAGAGGACAGUGGAACUCCAUGUGUAGCGGUGAAAUGCGUAGAUAUAUGGAAGAACACCAGUGGCGAAGGCGGCUGUCUGGUCUGUAACUGACGCUGAGGCUCGAAAGCAUGGGUAGCGAACAGGAUUAGAUACCCUGGUAGUCCAUGCCGUAAACGAUGAAUGCUAGGUGUUGGAGGGUUUCCGCCCUUCAGUGCCGCAGCUAACGCAUUAAGCAUUCCGCCUGGGGAGUACGACCGCAAGGUUGAAACUCAAAGGAAUUGACGGGGGCCCGCACAAGCGGUGGAGCAUGUGGUUUAAUUCGAAGCAACGCGAAGAACCUUACCAGGUCUUGACAUCUUUUGAUCACCUGAGAGAUCAGGUUUCCCCUUCGGGGGCAAAAUGACAGGUGGUGCAUGGUUGUCGUCAGCUCGUGUCGUGAGAUGUUGGGUUAAGUCCCGCAACGAGCGCAACCCUUAUGACUAGUUGCCAGCAUUUAGUUGGGCACUCUAGUAAGACUGCCGGUGACAAACCGGAGGAAGGUGGGGAUGACGUCAAAUCAUCAUGCCCCUUAUGACCUGGGCUACACACGUGCUACAAUGGAUGGUACAACGAGUUGCGAGACCGCGAGGUCAAGCUAAUCUCUUAAAGCCAUUCUCAGUUCGGACUGUAGGCUGCAACUCGCCUACACGAAGUCGGAAUCGCUAGUAAUCGCGGAUCAGCACGCCGCGGUGAAUACGUUCCCGGGCCUUGUACACACCGCCCGUCACACCAUGAGAGUUUGUAACACCCGAAGCCGGUGGCGUAACCCUUUUAGGGAGCGAGCCGUCUAAGGUGGGACAAAUGAUUAGGGUGAAGUC
rnacentral:rRNA from 2 species